rnacentral:rRNA from 1 species
GACAGAGGGUGCAAACGUUGUUCGGAAUUACUGGGCGUAAAGCGCGUGUAGGCUGCUCAGAAAGUCGGAUGUGAAAGCCCUGGGCUUAACCUAGGAAGUGCAUUCGAAACUUCUGAGCUUGAGUUCUGGAGAGGAAGGCGGAAUUCUCGGUGUAGAGGUGAAAUUCGUAGAUAUCGAGAGGAACACCGGUGGCGAAGGCGGCCUUCUGGACAGUGACUGACGCUGAGACGCGAAAGCAUGGGGAGCGAACAGG